UACGUAGGGGGCAAGCGUUGUCCGGAAUUACUGGGCGUAAAGGGUGCGUAGGUGGUUGUCUAAGUCAGAUGUGAAAUCCCCGGGCUCAACUCGGGUGGUGCAUUUGAAACUGGGUAACUAGAGUGCAGGAGAGGGAAGCGGAAUUCCUAGUGUAGCGGUGAAAUGCGUAGAUAUUAGGAGGAACACCAGUGGCGAAGGCGGCUUUCUGGACUGUAACUGACACUGAGGCACGAAAGCGUGGGGAGCAAACAGG
rnacentral:rRNA from 1 species